UACGUAGGGUGCGAGCGUUAAUCGGAAUUACUGGGCGUAAAGUGUGCGCAGGCGGCCGCGCAAGUCGAGUGUGAAAUCCCCGAGCUUAACUUGGGAAUUGCGCUCGAAACUACGUGGCUGGAGUGUGGCAGAGGAAGGUGGAAUUCCACGUGUAGCGGUGAAAUGCGUAGAGAUGAUGGAGGAACACCGAUGGCGAAGGCAGCCUUCUGGGCCAACACUGACGCUCAUGCACGAAAGCGUGGGGAGCAAACAGG
rnacentral:rRNA from 1 species